rnacentral:rRNA from 1 species
AUGCACAGGCUCGCUCGUCGGCACGGCCCCGUCAUGCUUCUCCGUCUCGGCCAUGUCCCAACGCUCGUGCUCUCCUCCGCCGAGGCAGCCAGGGAGGUCAUGAAGGUCCACGACGCCGCCUUCACCGAUCGCCCCGUGUACGCCACCACACACAUCUUCACCUACGACGGUGAGUUCAUCUCCUUUGCGCGCCACAGCAGUAGGUACUGGAAGUCCAUCCGAAAGCUCUGCGCCGUCGAGCUGCUGAGCCCGAGGCGGGUCCGGUCGUUCUGCCGUGUCCAGGAGGAGGAGGCGGUGAGGCUCGUGUGGGCGUCCGUCGACGACAGGUGCACGCAGCAGGGCGCGUACCUACGGGAGUUGGACAAGGUGCUGGACCUCAUGUCCGGGUUUAACCUCAUCGACCUGUUCCCGACGUCGUGCCUCGCCCGGGCUAUCGGUGGCCAGGCUCUCAGAGCGACGUGGGAGGUGCACCGGAGAAUCCACUCCAUCAUGGACGCCAUGAUCAGCGAUCACAGAACAGCUAUGGAGGAUGAGGAGGACAAUGAUGUCGGCCGUGAGCAGAGGGGCGACAUACUCACUACUCUGCUCUGUUUCCAGAGGGACAACGAGAUUGGCGGCGUCGCCCUCACCAAUGAAAACAUGAGCGACAUCCUCUUCGUGAGUCACCAGUCACCACUAGCUACCCAAGACCAUGGUUUAAAAUUGGACCCCCCUUAUCUGGCGACCAUUGACUGGGAGGGGUGGCAUUUGCAAACAUUUUGA